rnacentral:rRNA from 1 species
GAACUCAGGAGAAGGAACUCGGCAAAUUUGCACCGUAACUUCGGGAUAAGGUGCGCCCUGAUAGGUUGAAGCCCCUCGCGGGUGUAGGCUGAAAGGGUUGCAGUGAAAUGGUGGCUGCGACUGUUUAAUAAAAACACAGCACUCUGCAAACACGAAAGUGGACGUAUAGGGUGUGACGCCUGCCCGGUGCCGGAAGGUUAAGUGAUGGGGUGCAAGCUCUUGAUCGAAGCCCCGGUAAACGGCGGCCGUAACUAUAACGGUCCUAAGGUAGCGAAAUUCCUUGUCGGGUAAGUUCCGACCUGCACGAAUGGCGUAACGAUGGCCACACUGUCUCCUCCUGAGACUCAGCGAAGUUGAAAUGAUUGUGAAGAUGCAAUCUCCCCGCGGUUAGACGGAAAGACCCCAUGAACCUUUACUGUAGCUUUGCAUUGGACUUUGAACCAAUCUGUGUAGGAUAGGUGGGAGGCUGUGAAACUGGGACGCUAGUUCUGGUGGAGCCAACCUUGAAAUACCACCCUGGUUUGUUUGAGGUUCUAACCAUGGCCCGUGAAUCCGGGUCUGGGACCGUGCAUGGUAGGCAGUUUGACUGGGGCGGUCUCCUCCUAAAGUGUAACGGAGGAGUACGAAGGUACGCUAGGUACGGUCGGACAUCGUGCUGAUAGUGCAAUGGCAUAAGCGUGCUUGACUGCGAGACUCACACGUCGAGCAGGUACGAAAGUAGGUCAUAGUGAUCCGGUGGUUCUGUAUGGAAGGGCCAUCGCUCAACGGAUAAAAGGUACUCUGGGGAUAACAGGCUAAUACCGCCCAAGAGUUCAUAUCGACGGCGGUGUUUGGCACCUCGAUGUCGGCUCAUCACAUCCUGGGGCUGUAGUCGGUCCCAAGGGUAUGGCUGUUCGCCAUUUAAAGUGGUACGUGAGCUGGGUUUAAAACGUCGUGAGACAGUUUGGUCCCUAUCUGCCGUGGGCGCUGGAAAUUUGAAGGGGGCUGCUCCUAGUACGAGAGGACCGGAGUGGACGAACCUCUGGUGUACCGGUUAUGACGCCAGUCGUAUUGCCGGGUAGCUAAGUUCGGAAGAGAUAAACGCUGAAAGCAUCUAAGCGUGAAACUCGCCUUAAGAUAAGAUUUCCCUGGGGACUUGAUCCCCCUGAAGGGUCGUGGUAGACCACCACGUUGAUAGGCUGGGUGUGGAAGCGCAGCAAUGCGUUAAGCUAACCAGUACUAAUUGCCCGUGAGGCUUGAUCCU